rnacentral:rRNA from 1 species
UACAGAGGUCCCAAGCGUUGUUCGGAUUCAUUGGGCGUAAAGGGUGUGUAGGUGGCGCCGUAAGUCGGGUGUGAAACUCGGGGCUUAACUCCGAAACUGCAUUCGAUACUGCGGUGCUUGAGGACUGGAGAGGAGACUGGAAUUCAUGGUGUAGCAGUGAAAUGCGUAGAGAUCAUGAGGAAGACCAGUGGCGAAGGCGGGUCUCUGGACAGUUCCUGACACUGAGACACGAAGGCCAGGGGAGCAAACGGG